rnacentral:rRNA from 1 species
ACGUAGGGAGCAAGCGUUGUCCGGAUUUACUGGGUGUAAAGGGUGCGUAGGCGGAUUGGCAAGUCAGAAGUGAAAUCCAUGGGCUUAACCCAUGAACUGCUUUUGAAACUGUUAAUCUUGAGUGAAGUAGAGGUAGGCGGAAUUCCCGGUGUAGCGGUGAAAUGCGUAGAGAUCGGGAGGAACACCAGUGGCGAAGGCGGCCUACUGGGCUUUAACUGACGCUGAGGCACGAAAGUGUGGGUAGCAAACAG